AGACUGGGAUAACUUCGGGAAACCGGAGCUAAUACCGGAUAAUAUAUUGAACCGCAUGGUUCAAUAGUGAAAGACGGUUUUGCUGUCACUUAUAGAUGGAUCCGCGCCGCAUUAGCUAGUUGGUAAGGUAACGGCUUACCAAGGCAACGAUGCGUAGCCGACCUGAGAGGGGGAUCGGCCACACUGGAACUGAGACACGGUCCAGACUCCUACGGGAGGCAGCAGUAGGGAAUCUUCCGCAAUGGGCGAAAGCCUGACGGAGCAACGCCGCGUGAGUGAUGAAGGUCUUCGGAUCGUAAAACUCUGUUAUUAGGGAAGAA
rnacentral:rRNA from 1 species